AAUGAACGUUGGCGGCGUGGAUUAGGCAUGCAAGUCGAGCGAGAACCGGUCUUCGGAUCGAGGACAGCGGCGAACGGGGUAGGAAUACCUCGGUGACGUACCCCCAGGUCGGGGAUAGCGGCGGGAAACUGCCGGUAAUACCCGAUGACCUUCCCAAGUUUUACGACAGGGGAAGCAAAGGUGUGAUUCCGUCUGGGGAGCGGCCGAGGCCGUAUUAGCUGGUUGGUGAGGUAACGGCUCACCAAGGCAAUGAUGCGUAGGGGGUGUGAGAGCAUGGCCCCCACCACUGGCACUGAGACACUGGCCAGACACCUACGGGUGGCUGCAGUCGAGAAUCUUCGGCAAUGGGCGCAAGCCUGACCGAGCGACGCCGCGUGCGGGAUGAAGGUCUUCGGAUUGUAAACCGCUGUCGGAGGGGAUGAAGUGCAAGUGGGUACUCCCACCUGUUUGACAGAGCCUCGGAGGAAGCACGGGCUAAGUUCGUGCCAGCAGCCGCCGUAAUAC
rnacentral:rRNA from 1 species